rnacentral:rRNA from 1 species
GAUGAACGCUAGCUACAGGCUUAACACAUGCGAGUCGCGGGGCAGCAUGGGGGUUGCUUGCAAUCCCCGAUGGCGACCGGCGCACGGGUGAGUAACGCGUAUCCAACCUGCCCUUCACCACGGGAUAACCCGGCGAAAGUCGGACUAAUACCGUAUGUUGUCCAUUGACGGCAUCCGAUUUGGACGAAAGGUUUGGCGGUGAAGGAUGGGGAUGCGUCCGAUUAGCUGGACGGCGGGGUGACGGCCCACCGUGGCGACGAUCGGUAGGGGUUCUGAGAGGAAGGUCCCCCACACUAGAACUGAGACACGGUCCAGACUCCUACGGGAGGCAGCAGUGAGGAAUAUUGGUCAAUGGGCGUAAGCCUGAACCAGCCAAGUAGCGUGCAGGAUGACGGCCCUAUGGGUUGUAAACUGCUUUUAUGCGGGGAUAAAGUGGCCCACGUGUGGGUUUUUGCAGGUACCGCAUGAAUAAGGACCGGCUAAUUCCGUG